GGUGAGGGGAGAGUGAUCCACAAGGUGAGGGGAGAGUGAUCCACACGGUGAGGGGAGAGUGAUCCACACGCUGAUUGAAGAAUGUGAUUAUGGUGGAUCUACCAAAAUAAAAGUCCCUGCUGAUUGAGGAGUGUGAGUGUGGUGGAUCUACCAAAAUAAAAGUACCUGCUGAUUGAAGAGUGUGAGUAUGGUGGAUCUACCAAAAUAAAAGUACCUGCUGAUUGAAGAGUGCGAGUAUGG